rnacentral:rRNA from 1 species
CCUACGGGUGGCUGCAGUGGGGAAUAUUGGACAAUGGGCGAAAGCCUGAUCCAGCCAUGCCGCGUGUGUGAAGAAGGCCUUCGGGUUGUAAAGCACUUUCAGUGGGGAAGAAAGCCUUGGGGCUAAUACCCUCGAGGAAGGACAUCACCCACAGAAGAAGCACCGGCUAACUCCGUGCCAGCAGCCGCGGUAAUACGGAGGGUGCGAGCGUUAAUCGGAAUUACUGGGCGUAAAGCGCGCGUAGGCGGUCUGAUAAGCCGGUUGUGAAAGCCCCGGGCUCAACCUGGGAACGGCAUCCGGAACUGUCAGGCUAGAGUGCAGGAGAGGAAGGUAGAAUUCCCGGUGUAGCGGUGAAAUGCGUAGAGAUCGGGAGGAAUACCAGUGGCGAAGGCGGCCUUCUGGACUGACACUGACGCUGAGAUGCGAAAGCGUGGGUAGCAAACAGGAUUAGAUACCCUAGUAGUC